UUCUUCCUCGUAGGUACUUGAUGUAAGCACCUGUAUAUCUAUUUAAUGAUGUUUUAUGUGUUCUUUGUGCUAUUAGUACAUCAUUUCAGUGUGCUUUUGCCUUGAUCACGUAGAUGUAUGCUUUGUUAGGAUCAUUCAAUAGUGAAAAUUGGUCUGAUUCUUAGAACUUGAUAGGGUAGGGCUAGUUUAUCGUAUUAUCACGAGGGAUCGGGGUACGGUAACCUAGUUGUUUGUAUGUUUGUCUUAAUGCGGUUAUGGUUGAGUUUAGUCCAACAAGAGAAAUAUGAGGAUGAUGCUUGAUUAGGAUUAGGUUAGACUAUCAUGAGGAAUUGGGGUUUAGCAUUUCAGGAGACACCAUAGAACACAUGAGCAUUGUUAAGUAGAGAAUAUCCUUUUAACAUCAGGCACCUAAUAGGAAGACCAACGUGUUGUCUACUUGUCUUUACACAUCAUUACUCACGUGAUCUUCCUUUUAGUAGUUAGUUUACAUACCUGUGCAUAGUUGACACAUCACUUUUCAUACUAGACACCUAUUCACUGAAUUUAGCUUUACCAAGUAACACAAGUUCCCCGAGAGUUCGAUACUCGAUUCUUACCGUUUUAUACUACUUGUGCGAUCCAGUGCACUUGUCGGGUUCAAACAAGUUUUUGGCGCCGUUGCCUAAGAACUUCUUUCUAUUUGGAAAGUUAGUUCAGUCCUAUGUGUCUAUUCUUUAUUCUUUGAUAAACU
rnacentral:lncRNA from 1 species